rnacentral:rRNA from 1 species
UACGUAGGGUGCAAGCGUUGUCCGGAAUUAUUGGGCGUAAAGAGCUCGUAGGCGGUCUGUCGCGUCGGCUGUGAAAACUCGGGGCUCAACCCCGAGCCUGCAGUCGAUACGGGCAGACUAGAGUUCGGUAGGGGAGAGUGGAAUUCCCGGUGUAGCGGUGAAAUGCGCAGAUAUCGGGAAGAACACCCGUGGCGAAGGCGGCUCUCUGGGACGGUACUGACGCUGAGACGCGAAAGCGUGGGGAGCGAACAGG